AGUAGGGAAUAUUGGACAAUGGGCGAAAGCCUGAUCCAGCAAUGCCGCGUGAGCGAUGAAGGCCUUAGGGUUGUAAAGCUCUUUUACCCGGGAUGAUAAUGACAGUACCGGGAGAAUAAGCCCCGGCUAACUCCGUGCCAGCAGCCGCGGUAAUACGGAGGGGGCUAGCGUUGUUCGGAAUUACUGGGCGUAAAGCGCACGUAGGCGGCGAUCUAAGUCAGAGGUGAAAGCCCGGGGCUCAACCCCGGAACUGCCUUUGAGACUGGAUUGCUAGAAUCUUGGAGAGGCGGGUGGAAUUCCGAGUGUAGAGGUGAAAUUCGUAGAUAUUCGGAAGAACACCAGUGGCGAAGGCGGCCCGCUGGACAAGUAUUGACGCUGAGGUGCGAAAGCGUGGGGAGCAAA
rnacentral:rRNA from 1 species